rnacentral:lncRNA from 1 species
GAUAACCGAGGAAUUCAAGAUUUUGACAAUCUUGAAGGAGAAAAAGAGUAGAAGAAUAAGAUGUUGAUCGACUUCUAGUAAUUUAGUAGCUUUGAUUUUGCUUGUCCUAUGGUUUGUGGAUGGUUUGUGGGUGAUUUGGUGGUACCUAGUACCUACUUUUAAGUAUUUAAAUUGAUAUUUUUCAUUAUUUAUAAUUUUACAUUAUGUUUUUUAAGAAUUGCGCUUCACUUUAAAAAAG